CAUCUACAAAUUGGAUUGGAUACAGAAUCGGAAGGAAAAAUUACAGUAAGAAAAAUUGAUCUAGUUCUGCAAUAUCCAUUGCAAGUCGCUUUUUCAGGUCUACUUGCGGAAAACUUGGGGGGAAAUGGGAUAUUAACACAAAUAAAGUAAAUUCAAAAAUAUAUGAAAUGCAACUGAACGGUCAUGAAUACAUGCAAAUCAUAUUUCGUCCGUUGGAAGGUUUUCGGUAUUAUAUACUGUCGAAUCUUCACGAAAGAAGAAAACGAAGAAUCAUCUCCGAUCAUUCGAAAAGAAACUUUUCCAUCCGAAGCUGUAAAGGAAAU